UGAACGCUGGCGGCGUGCCUAAUACAUGCAAGUCGAGCGAACAGACGAGGAGCUUGCUCCUCUGACGUUAGCGGCGGACGGGUGAGUAACACGUGGAUAACCUACCUAUAAGACUGGGAUAACUUCGGGAAACCGGAGCUAAUACCGGAUAAUAUAUUGAACCGCAUGGUUCAAUAGUGAAAGACGGUUUUGCUGUCACUUAUAGAUGGAUCCGCGCCGCAUUAGCUAGUUGGUAAGGUAACGGCUUACCAAGGCAACGAUGCGUAGCCGACCUGAGAGGGUGAUCGGCCACGCUGGAACUGAGACACGGUCCAGACUCCUACGGGAGGCAGCAGUAGGGAAUCUUCCGCAAUGGGCGAAAGCCUGACGGAGCAACGCCGCGUGAGUGAUGAAGGUCUUCGGAUCGUAAAACUCUGUUAUUAGGGAAGAACAAAUGUGUAAGUAACUAUGCACGUCUUGACGGUACCUAAUCAGAAAGCCACGGCUAACUACGUG
rnacentral:rRNA from 1 species